ACUGAGUGGCGGACGGGUGAGUAACGCGUGGGUAACCUGCCCUGUACAGGGGGACAACAGUUAGAAAUGACUGCUAAUACCGCAUAAGCGCACAGGACCGCAUGGUCCGGUGUGAAAAACUCCGGUGGUACAGGAUGGACCUGCGUCUGAUUAGGUAGUUGGCGGGGUAACGGCCCACCAAGCCGACGAUCAGUAGCCGACCUGAGAGGGUGACCGGCCACAUUGGGACUGAGACACGGCCCAAACUCCUACGGAAGGCAGCAG
rnacentral:rRNA from 1 species